rnacentral:rRNA from 1 species
AUGCAGUAUAUAUAUUUACAAUGGUCAAAUGGUAGAAAGGAUGGGUUCCAUGAAGCUGGCCUAGAAGCUGGAUGCUUUCUGGAGGCUGGGCCAAGCAUGGUAUGCUCUUCAUUUCAUUUCCUUCUUGUGCCCUUUAGUCUUGAGAUUCCUAUCAUGUAUGUAUGUGUGGAAACUGGAAGCUUGGCUGACAUUAAAGAAUUGAUUGAUUGUGCUUGUCCUGUUCCUGCUGUUAGCUUACUAGUAGUCUGGAAUAUGAAAAAAGGGGAAGGUGAUCUUUUUAUUUAUAUGAAUACCAAAAUUGAAUUGCUAGAGCUAGAUGCUAUAUAUGGUAGUCAGAAACAAUCAUAG